GGGCUACAUCACAUUAAAGACACUAGUUCCUGUAUGAUCACCAAAGUUAAGCAAUAUUGAGUCUUGUUAGUACCUAGAUGGGUGCCUGCUUGAGAAUACCAGGUGCU